rnacentral:rRNA from 1 species
GGGUUGUGAGGUUAAGCGACUAAGCGUACACGGUGGAUGCCCUGGCAGUCAGAGGCGAUGAAGGACGUGCUAAUCUGCGAUAAGCGCCGGUAAGGUGAUAUGAACCGUUAUAACCGGCGAUUUCCGAAUGGGGAAACCCAGUGUGAUUCGUCACACUAUCAUUAACUGAAUCCAUAGGUUAAUGAGGCGAACCGGGGGAACUGAAACAUCUAAGUACCCCGAGGAAAAGAAAUCAACCGAGAUUCCCCCAGUAGCGGCGAGCGAACGGGGAGGAGCCCAGAGCCUGAAUCAGCAUGUGUGUUAGUGGAAGCGUCUGGAAAGGCGCGCGAUACAGGGUGACAGCCCCGUACACAAAAGCGCAUGUGCUGUGAGCUCGAUGAGUAGGGCGGGACACGUGGUAUCCUGUCUGAAUAUGGGGGGACCAUCCUCCAAGGCUAAAUACUCCUGACUGACCGAUAGUGAACCAGUACCGUGAGGGAAAGGCGAAAAGAACCCCGGCGAGGGGAGUGAAAAAGAACCUGAAACCGUGUAC